AGAGUUUGAUCAUGGCUCAGGAUGAACGCUGGCGGCGUGCUUAACACAUGCAAGUCGAGCGAAGCAGUUAAGAAGAUUCUUCGGAUGAUUCUUAACUGACUGAGCGGCGGACGGGUGAGUAACGCGUGGGUGACCUGCCCCAUACCGGGGGAUAACAGCUGGAAACGGCUGCUAAUACCGCAUAAGCGCACAGAGCUGCAUGGCUCGGUGUGAAAAACUCCGGUGGUAUGGGAUGGGCCCGCGUCUGAUUAGGCAGUUGGCGGGGUAACGGCCCACCAAACCGACGAUCAGUAGCCGGCCUGAGAGGGCGACCGGCCACAUUGGGACUGAGACACGGCCCAAACUCCUACGGGAGGCAGCAGUGGGGAAUAUUGCACAAUGGGGGAAACCCUGAUGCAGCGACGCCGCGUGAGCGAAGAAGUAUUUCGGUAUGUAAAGCUCUAUCAGCAGGGAAGAUAAUGACGGUACCUGACUAAGAAGCCCCGGCUAACUACGUGCCAGCAGCCGCGGUAAUACGUAGGGGGCAAGCGUUAUCCGGAUUUACUGGGUGUAAAGGGAGCGUAGACGGCAAGGCAAGUCUGAUGUGAAAACCCAGGGCUUAACCCUGGGACUGCAUUGGAAACUGUCUGGCUCGAGUGCCGGAGAGGUAAGCGGAGUUCCUAGUGUAGCGGUGAAAUGCGUAGAUAUUAGGAAGAACACCAGUGGCGAAGGCGGCUUACUGGACGGUAACUGACGUUGAGGCUCGAAAGCGUGGGGAGCAAACAGGAUUAGAUACCCUGGUAGUCCACGCCGUAAACGAUGAAUGCUAGGUGUUGGGGAGCAAAGCUCUUCGGUGCCGCCGCAAACGCAUUAAGCAUUCCACCUGGGGAGUACGUUCGCAAGAAUGAAACUCAAAGGAAUUGACGGGGGCCCGCACAAGCGGAGGAACAUGUGGUUUAAUUCGAUGAUACGCGAGGAACCUUACCCGGGCUUGAAUUGCAGAGGAAGGAUGUGGAGGCAAUGACGCCCUUCGGGGCCUCUGUGAAGGUGCUGCAUGGUUGUCGUCAGCUCGUGCCGUGAGGUGUCGGCUUAAGUGCCAUAACGAGCGCAACCCCUCUCCUUAGUUGCCAUCAGGUUAAGCUGGGCACUCUGGGGACACUGCCACCGUAAGGUGUGAGGAAGGUGGGGAUGACGUCAAAUCAGCACGGCCCUUACGUCCGGGGCUACACACGUGUUACAAUGGCAGGUACAGAGAGACGGUUGUACGUAAGUACGAUCAAAUCCUUAAAGCCUGUCUCAGUUCGGACUGGGGUCUGCAACCCGACCCCACGAAGCUGGAUUCGCUAGUAAUCGCGCAUCAGCCAUGGCGCGGUGAAUACGUUCCCGGGCCUUGUACACACCGCCCGUCAAGCCAUGAAAGCCGGGGGCGCCUAAAGUCCGUGACCGUAAGGAGCGGCCUAGGGCGAAACUGGUAAUUGGGGCUAAGUCGUAACAAGGUA
rnacentral:rRNA from 1 species